GUGGAAAAGAAAUUCAACGAAGUAAUGCAAUACCAGGAGAACAAGUCCGAGAUGGGUCAGAUUCAAAAGAUAGGCUCCAGCAAUAUGGAAGAGAUAAAGUCCAAUGUAGACAAUUUGGCGAAAGAUAUCCUCUUUUUUAGUUUUCUGGAAGUACAAUUCUGGGAAAGCAUGAAACCAGUAUGCCAACUGUAAGAUGUAGAAAAACUUCAUUUGAAACGGAAUCAGAGUGUGUGGGUAGUCCCUCCACAGAGAGGUUGGAUCUGAUAUAUAGUUCUCAGAGACGAGAAUACUUGUG
rnacentral:lncRNA from 1 species